UUCUCCAUACCAGGGGCUUUCAAUGUAAAGGAAAAAAAAAUGUAAGGACCAUGGCUUGUCCUUCCACUUCCUGUGGGCCCCUUCUGUGCCAAGUACUCAACAGUUAAUCAUCAAUAGCACUUUGCUAACUACUGGCUUAGAGUGACUAAGAAAAUUUGAACCGUGUUGUUCUGUAAGCAGUUAUUUUGAAUUUUAGGUGAUGACUCUUCUAGUGUGCUUCUGGGCUGUCAUCCUUAGGAAGUCAUGGGCAGGAUUUUUUUUUUUUUUCUGAAUCCUGGAUAUGAAGAAAACAGCCAACAUAAAGAACCAUUUGAAAUCGUCCUCCCAUUUUAUAUUAUACACUAGUAUUCCUCUGCAUAUUUCAUACACUUUGCCCAGUUGUAAAGCUUCAGAGACAACAAACACACAGCUACAUACCUGUGACUAAAAGGAAGGAUGUGUUUAAGGCUAUCUGUACAGUGUCCACACAAACAGUUUACUCCGUUAUUCAUUAGCUUCUAGUUUAGACUGUUACCUCACUUGACAGAGCAUAUAUUCACAAUCAGUACAAGUCAGUGCUAUGAAUAGUCCUGUAGCCUUGGGGAUAGAGUCUUAUGGGGACAGCAGGACAUGAGGCAACAUCCAAAUCAACAGCUUGUUCCUUCAGAAAAUUGACAAUACUAGUACUGAUAAUCAUUAUCUAUCAUGAUACUGAUAAAUAAUAUAAGUGAUAUAUACAAGUAUCAUUCAAAUUAUAAGUAUAAAAGAACAGAUACACUGUUUGACCAUACAUCGCCAUUAUUCAGCAGGAACAGAUAAAGAGAGAAGAGAUGCAUUAUUAGAACAAGCUAGAUAGAAAUAAGAUAUACCAAU
rnacentral:lncRNA from 1 species